rnacentral:rRNA from 1 species
AUACGGAGGAUGCAAGCGUUAUCCGGAUUCAUUGGGUUUAAAGGGUGCGCAGGUGGGAAUGUAAGUCAGUGGUGAAAUACUGCCGCUUAACGGUAGAACUGCCAUUGAUACUGCGUUUCUUGAGUAUGGUUGAGGUAGGCGGAAUGUGUUGUGUAGCGGUGAAAUGCAUAGAUAUGACACAGAACGCCGAUUGCGAAGGCAGCUUACUAAGCCAUUACUGACGCUGAGGCACGUAAGCGUGGGGAGCGAACAGGAUUAGAAACCCCGGUAGUCC